rnacentral:rRNA from 1 species
UGGAGCUUGCUUCGAGGGGAUCAGUGGCGAACGGGUGAGUAACACGUGAGUAACCUGCCCCGGACUCUGGAAUAAGCGCUGGAAACGGCGUCUAAUACCGGAUACGAGACGCAACCGCAUGGUUAGUGUCUGGAAAGUUUUUCGGUCUGGGAUGGACUCGCGGCCUAUCAGCUUGUUGGUGAGGUAAUGGCUCACCAAGGCGACGACGGGUAGCCGGCCUGAGAGGGCGACCGGCCACACUGGGACUGAGACACGGCCCAGACUCCUACGGGAGGCAGCAGUGGGGAAUAUUGCACAAUGGGCGAAAGCCUGAUGCAGCGACGCCGCGUGAGGGAUGACGGCCUUCGGGUUGUAAACCUCUUUCAGCAGGGAAGAAGCGAAAGUGACGGUACCUGCAGAAGAAGCACCGGCUAACUACGUGCCAGCAGCCGCGGUAAUACGUAGGGUGCGAGCGUUGUCCGGAAUUAUUGGGCGUAAAGAGCUUGUAGGCGGUUUGUCGCGUCUGCUGUGAAAAUCCGGGGCUCAACCCCGGACUUGCAGUGGGUACGGGCAGACUAGAGUGUGGUAGGGGAGACUGGAAUUCCUGGUGUAGCGGUGAAAUGCGCAGAUAUCAGGAGGAACACCGAUGGCGAAGGCAGGUCUCUGGGCCACUACUGACGCUGAGAAGCGAAAGCAUGGGGAGCGAACAGGAUUAGAUACCCUGGUAGUCCAUGCCGUAAACGUUGGGCGCUAGGUGUGGGACUCAUUCC